UACGUAGGGGGCAAGCGUUAUCCGGAUUUACUGGGUGUAAAGGGAGCGUAGACGGGCGUGCAAGUCUGAAGUGAAAGCCCGGGGCUCAACCCCGGAACUGCUUUGGAAACUGUAUGUCUAGAGUGCAGGAGAGGUAAGUGGAAUUCCUAGUGUAGCGGUGAAAUGCGUAGAUAUUAGGAGGAACACCAGUGGCGAAGGCGGCUUACUGGACUGUAACUGACGUUGAGGCUCGAAGGCGUGGGGAG
rnacentral:rRNA from 1 species